CUGGUCUGAGAGGAUGAUCAGCCACACUGGAACUGAGACACGGUCCAGACUCCUACGGGAGGCAGCAGUGGGGGAAUAUUGCGCAAUGGGCGAAAGCCUGACGCAGCCACGCCGCGUGAAGGAUGACGGUCUUCGGAUUGUAAACUUCUGUCGGGAGGGAAGAAGGGGCAACCCUGACGGUACCUCGCAAGAAAAGCACCGGCUAAACUCUGUGCCAGCAGCCGCGGUAAUACAGAGGGUGCAAGCGUUGCUCGGAAUUACUGGGCGUAAAGCGUGCGCAGACGGCAAGGCAGGUCGGGUGUGAAAAGCCCUGGGCUCAACCCAGGAAUUGCAUUCGAAACCAUCUCGCUCGAGUAUGGGAGAGGGGAGCGGAAUUCCUGGUGUAGAGGUGAAAUUCGUAGAUAUCAGGAGGAACACCGGCGGCGAAG
rnacentral:rRNA from 1 species